rnacentral:lncRNA from 1 species
CUAUCAAUUAAGUUGAACUAUAAUCAAUAUUAUAUAUGUGUUCUAUUAAUUGAAAUCAAUUUAACAAUUUAAAUUAAUUAAUUAAUAUAAUACCUAUUUACUAAAAUAGAUGAUUGUUGACUCAAUUAUCUAAUUGGGAUUAAUUGAAAAUAAUUUUCCAAAAAUUAAAAUCAAUUUGUUUUAAGUUUAAUUUUAGAAAUCUGAAAUAAUUUUUUUUUUUCAGUGAAUCGGUUCGAGCCGAAGCGGUCCGGUUCUGCCCGGUCCAGUUGACCCAAAUCAGUGGGCCGGGUCAGUCGGACCGAGAAUCGGUCUGACCGACCCGAAUCCACGUGGAUUCAGUCAAUUGGAUCGGACACAACCAUCGAACCGGCCGGUUUGACCGGUUCGAUCCGAACAAUUAAAAAACCGAUGUUUUAAAAUAAUUUCAGAUCCGUUUUUCCAAUUUUAAACAAUUUUAAAGCUGGAAAAAUUCUUAACAAUAUUUCAAAAAUAUUUUAAAAUAUGAAAACUCCCAAUUACAUAAUACAACAAUCACUACUUUAAUAAAUCGAACAUGCAUAAAAUCAUAGCAUAUAUAAACGAACGCAAUUAAUUGCGCAACGAGCUCUGAUACCACUGUUGAGAAUAAGACACGUGUACGCUGCGGAAAACAAAAAUUUUAUGCGAUUUAAACAACUUUAAAACACAUAAACACAUGCCCGAUAAUUGAAAACAAUUAAUUGCGCACCUUUGCGCUUCCAGCGAAAAUUAAAACGACAUACAUGCUUAAUUAUUCAACCGAAUUUAAAUCAAUUAGCAUGCUUGCGUUUAAAUCAAAUAUUCAUGCUCGCGAUAAAUAAAUAAUUCCAUGUAUUCACAUAAAAUCAUGCAAGAACGAACAUAAACAUUCUACUUAAACGUAGACGAAUCAAGAACAAUGAAUUCGUGUGUUUACCUCUUGAAGCGUGAGGUAGGAGCACUAAGCAAGACGAUAUUGCUACGGAAACCAAUCCGUACAAUCCAGGGCAGCUGCGGUGGAGCGGCAGCAGCGGCGAGACGGGCGCCGCGGCGUGUGUCACUCACGCGCGGUCUUCGGGCGGCGCGUGGGGAUACGUGCGGCUUCGGCUCGUGUGCUGCUCCUCGACUCUUCGAUCUUCGAUCUUCCUCCUCUCAGAUUUCACCUCGUAUACUUUGAUCUACUAAACACGUUGCACUAGACACGUAAUAGUUAGAAAAAUGGAAGAAAAGAAAGAAGGAAAGAAAUACCGAAAGGGAUCGGCCAACGGAUGGCCGAUUCCGGUGAUUUUCCGGCGACGACGGCGUGGGUGGCCGCGGUGGAGAAUGGCCGAGAUAGAGAGGGACUGCUAGGGUUAGGGUUUUGUUGUGUGUGUGCAAGACCUAUAAAUCAAGUAUUUAUAGUGUCUUGCAUAAAACCCUAGGGGGCUUAAGUUGGACCGGGCCCAACAACUUAAGUUCGUUAGUUCUAUUACUUGCUUGUCUCUCUCAAUUCAAUGAUCGAAAAAUUGUAAUGAUUACAUUUUAGGAAUCAUUAUAACGUCCUCGCCAUUACGAGUGCCAACUCUCGAUUUCCAUCUUUCCAAAAGUGGAAACCCUAAUUUAGUGCACUUUCUAAAUUUGGAAACUUCCCGAUUUAGAAAGUUCACUAAUACGUUUGCCUAUUCUUUUCCUUUUCUUAUUCUCAUUCAUAAUUCCAAAUUACAAAUGUUGGACCCAAUCAUAUUGAUUUACAAUCAUGCAAAGAUAAACCAUUUUAUCUGUGACUGUUUAUUCAAAGAUCUCAUGUGCACGAGCAGUGUGACUCUCGAUGGUUCAGGUGUAAGCUAGCCGUGGGCCUACAACCCUUUGUGGUCAAAACUGGUCCCUUAGAGUUACGAUUAAGAUGAAGCUCGUUUCACCUUAAUCACCCAACGGAUCAAGAUUGGCGUCUAGCAACUACGCGUCAUGAUUCCGUAGAUACAAAUGAAGUGCCUGCAAGAACCUUCAAAUAUAGUUAACGUACAGUACGGUCCCUUCGAGACAUAUGUCCCGAUUGAACUAGAUGCAUUGGUUCGUCGAGACCUCUUUAUAUGUUCAAUGACGGUGCGAUCAUUCCAAGUGUUGUAAUCGUUACGUGCAUGACUCAGAGAAUCGAAUUCUCUAAUUAUCACUUAGUCAGCUCUGGCCAGAGACUUAGAAUGAUUACAAACUAUCAGAAAAUACAGGACAUCCAAGACUAUUCUAGCGAUCGAAUCCCCGACUACAAUGCACAGACCUCCCACUAGAUUUCGGACUGCACGAACACUGGCCCUUGGGAUGGUCCUCGGUAGAACUCAGGGAAAGGUCACGAUACAGAUGGUCCUCUAGUGAAGUCACGGUGAUGUCUAGGUCAUAAGGACUAAUGGUGUAAAACUAUACCAUAGAUAUCUCUACUCGAUUAUUGGGAACCACUUAUAGAUUUCUAGGGUGAGGGAGUUCAGUGAACUCGUCAACUUACGAGCACCCACUUAUGCAUGUCGAUAUCAUAAUACCGUUUACUGAUCAGAUGCAGUACACAUACACUAAGUGCUAGUCUCUUAAUGGGAAAGGCCGAUAUCCUCAUUGGUGGUGUAACCCUUCGACUAGGAACACGUUUAACAGUUAUAAUACUUAAGUAAAUAUCUCACGAUCAUAACGAUCAAUUACUAGUACUUGUAAUAACUGUAAGGACUAUAUCUAUGCUUGUGACAAAGGGACAAAGAUAUAGAAUGCCAAUGUGUUUUAUCAUUAAUACGAAUAAAGGUUCGUUUAUUACAAUAAUAAAUACGAAAGACCACAACCACAUGUUGGCUUGUUGGUCACCAACUCUAUCAGCUAGACCACCCAAGUCAAAAGGGGUCGUUGCGCCAAAGCUGACCGUAGAUGUACCAUAUACUCAACUACUGGUCAAGGCCAAGAUUGAGUCCUAUUACAAAAGAUUUCUUGAGAAGUAAAAUGAAUUUCAUAUUUAUAUUCCUUUCACUCAAGCUCUUGAGCUAAUGCCACGUUAGGUAAACUUUUAGAAAGAUAUGGUGUCUAAAAGCAAACAAUUAGUGAGCAUGAAACGAUAGUUUUAACUGAACAAUGCAACGGGAUCCUCACUGGCCCACUUCAACCGAAACUGGAAGAUGUCGGUAACUUUACAAUCCCAGUCGCAAUAAGGGGUAAGUUCUUUUCGAAGUAUCUCAUAGACUUAGUUAGGGCUAGCAUUAACCAUAUGCCAUUUUCUACUUUUCAAAAUUUGGGACUACGCGAUAUAAAAUUGGUGUCUAUGACUUUACAUUUGAAGAAUAGAUCUCUGAUUUUCCUAAAAGACAUUGUAGAGGAUGUGUUAGUUAAAGUAUAUAAUUCAUAUUUCCAGCAGAUUUUGUAGUCCUAGAUAUGGAAGAAGAUAAAUAAAUUCCCUUAAUCUUACAGAGACAUUUUUUGAGAAUGAGUCGGACUAUAGUUGAUGUUUUUAAUGGGUAUUAUCUAUGUCUUUGGGGAUGAAACAAUCAAAUUUGAUGUUUUUCGAACAAUGAAACACCCACAAGAGGUUGAUGAAUGCUUUUCUUUUGAUGUUUUGGAUUACGUGAGUAAUGAUUACAUUAACCCUUUAAUUGUGGAUCCUUUGGAAGCAUCAUUGGUUGCUGGAACUGAAAUUGAGGAUGAAGCAGUGGUUGAACAAUAAUAUAGGCUAGACUCGGCGAAGCCAUUGCUGAAAUCCAGUUUUGAAUGUUUGGACACUCACCGCAUCCCGUGCAAGGAGAGAUGGACAACUCAAAUCAACGAGAUCAAUGUUUACGAGAAAAAAUAGAUCUACAAGGAAAAUAUCAAGCGGUGGCACGACAAUAAGAUUUUUCAUCGUGAAUUUGACAAGAGGUAGCUGGUGUUACUCUUAAACUCCCGUCUCAAACUAUUUCCAGGCAAACUCAAGUCGAGAUGGUCAGGGCCUUUUACGGUGCUCGAAGUAUUUCCACAUGGUGCAGUAGAGUUAUUGGAUUCCGGUAUCGGAAUUUUUUUCAAAGUCAAUGGGUAGACCCUCAAGCAUUAUUGGGAAGGAUAAUUGCAUCGUCAAACGACUUUCGUCACUUUAAUUAGCUUGGAUAAAGAAGCUAACGAAGUCUGGUUGAAUACUACAAACUUAGCUCUUCUCGGGAUUCAACCCGAGAUUUUAAUGUUUUUGGUUUUGUUUUUUAAAUUUAUAGGGUUAAAUACAAAAACACCCCUGUACUAUGGGCUUUGUAUCAUAUACCCCAUGUACUACACAUAAAUACAAAAACCCCUGUUGUUAUAUUUUUUUCCAAAAUCUGACGAAAAUACCCCUGCUAAGCCUAUAAAUAUAAGGGUUUGUUUGAGCCAUUUUCCACUAUAUUUGUUUAACAUUUUCAGUUAAUUUUACUUGGAAUUUUUUUUUUCUUCAAAACAUUUAAUUACUUAGAAUUUUUUUUAAUUUUCUGAAUAAAACCUUUUAUUUUUGUAUUUUUGAUUUCUUCAAGUAUUUCAAAUUCUCAACAAUAAUAAUCUUAGAAUAUUUGAACUACCGGAAGACAUUAAAGACAAAAAAAUGAAGAAACUCAAAAUGACAAAAAUAAAAAUUUUAAUCUAGAAAAUUAAAAAAAAUCCAAGCACAUAGAUGUUUUGGAGAAAAAAUAUAAAUACUCAAAUUUCUCACGUAAAAUUGACUGAAAAUGGUAAAAGAAUAUAUAGUGGAAAAUGGCUCAAAAAAUAAAUAAAUAAAUAUACAUAUAUAUAUAUAUAUAUAUAUAUAUAUAUAUAUAUAUAUAUAUAUAUAUAUAUAUAUAUAUUGCUUGAGUAGGGGUAUUUUUGUCAUAUUUUGGCAAAAAUGUAUGUGGGGGGGUUUGUAUUUAUGUGUAGUACAGGGGGUAUAUGACACAAAGUCCAUAGUACAGGGGUGUUUUUGUAUUUAACCCUAAUUUUUAUUUUUAUUUUUAUAGGAUCUUAUAGGGCUGGAAAAAAAAUACCGAUUACCAUAUACCAUGGUAUACCAACCAAGGAUUACCGAAAAAUUACCGAAACAACGGUUACCAUUGUCUACGGUACGGUAUUAGUACCGUACCAUUACAAUAUGGUACGGUAUUGGUAUUGUAUUUCUAAUACCACGGUAAUACCGUACCGUACCGCAAUUUAUAUUUUAAUCCGAUUAAUAUAUUUUUUUCGAUAUUAUUUUUUGUAAUUCUAUUUUGUUUACUUUGAAGCUUAUAAAUG